UGCUUCUUUGGCGUCGAGCGGCGGACGGGUGAGUAAUGCCUAGGAAAUUGCCAUGACGAGGGGGAUAACCAUUGGAAACGAUGGCUAAUACCGCAUAAUACCGUUUUUCUAGCGAGGGAUGGUCAAAGAAGGGGACCUUUAUGGCCUUUUGCGUUGUGAUAUGCCUAGGUGGGAUUAGCUAGUUGGUGAGGUAAGGGCUCACCAAGGCGACGAUCUCUAGCUGGUCUGAGAGGAUGGUCAGCCACACUGGAACUGAGACACGGUCCAGACUCCUACGGGAGGCAGCAGUGGGGAAUAUUGCACAAUGGGCGGAAGCCUGAUGCAGCCAUGCCGCGUGUAUGAAGAAGGCCUUAGGGUUGUAAAGUACUUUCAGCAGUGAGGAAGUAUUGUGUGUUAAUAGCGCAUGGUAUUGACGUUAAUUGCAGAAGAAGCACCGGCUAACUCCGUGCCAGCAGCCGCGGUAAUACGGAGGGUGCGAGCGUUAAUCGGAAUUACUGGGCGUAAAGCGCAUGUAGGUGGACAAGUUAGUCAGAUGUGAAAUCCCGGGGCUUAACUUUGGAAUUGCAUUUGAAACUGCUGGUCUAGAGUAUUGUAGAGGGGGGUAGAAUUUCAGGUGUAGCGGUGAAAUGCGUAGAGAUCUGAAGGAAUACCGGUGGCGAAGGCGGCCCCCUGGACAGUUACUGACACUGAGAUGCGAAAGCGUGGGUAGCAAACAGGAUUAGAUACCCUGGUAGUCCACGCUGUAAACGAUGUCUACUUGGAGGAUGUGGCCCUAGAGUUGUGUCUUUCGAAGCUAACGCGUUAAGUAGACCGCCUGGGGAGUACGGUCGCAAGAUUAAAACUCAAAUGAAUUGACGGGGGCCCGCACAAGCGGUGGAGCAUGUGGUUUAAUUCGAUGCAACGCGAAGAACCUUACCUACUCUUGACAUCCUCAU
rnacentral:rRNA from 1 species